rnacentral:rRNA from 1 species
GAUGAACGCUGGCGGCGUGCUUAACACAUGCAAGUCGAACGGACAGGCGCUGCGUUUGCUGGUCUCUCGUGUGGCGAACAGGUGUGUAACACACGUGUAACCUGCCCCUGACUUUGUGAUAUCUUCUGGAAACUGGGGCUCUUACCGCGUAGGAUCUCCUGCUGCAUGGUGGUGGUUGGAAAGAUUCGGCGGUUGGGUAUGGACUCGCGGCUUAUCAGCUUCAUGGUGGGGUAGUGGCUUACCAAGCCUUUGACGGGUAGCCGGCCUGAGAGGGUGACCGGCCACAAUGGGACUGAGGUACGGCCCAGACUCCUACGGGAGGCAGCAGUGGGGAAUAUUGCAGAAUGGGCGGAAGGCAGAUGCAGCAACGCCGCGUGCGGGAUGACGGGCUUCGGGGUGUAAACCGAUUUCGCAUGUGACGAAGCGUGAGUGACGGUAAUGGGUAAAGAAGCACCGGCUAACUACGUG